rnacentral:rRNA from 1 species
CCUACGGGCGGCAGCAGUGAGGAAUAUUGGUCAAUGGACGAGAGUCUGAACCAGCCAAGUAGCGUGAAGGAUGACUGCCCUAUGGGUUGUAAACUUCUUUUAUAUGGGAAUAAAAUGUUCCACGUGUGGGAUUUUGUAUGUACCAUAUGAAUAAGGAUCGGCUAACUCCGUGCCAGCAGCCGCGGUAAUACGGAGGAUCCGAGCGUUAUCCGGAUUUAUUGGGUUUAAAGGGAGCGUAGGUGGAUUGUUAAGUCAGUUGUGAAAGUUUGCGGCUCAACCGUAAAAUUGCAGUUGAAACUGGCAGUCUUGAGUACAGUAGAGGUGGGCGGAAUUCGUGGUGUAGCGGUGAAAUGCUUAGAUAUCACGAAGAACUCCGAUUGCGAAGGCAGUUCACUGGACUGCAACUGACACUGAGGCUCGAAAGUGUGGGUAUCAAACAGGACUAGAUACCCCUGUAGUC